rnacentral:rRNA from 1 species
GACGAACGCUGGCGGCGUGCUUAACACAUGCGAGUCGAACGGAAAGGCCCUGCUUUUGUGGGGUGCUCGAGUGGCGAACGGGUGAGUAACACGUGAGUAACCUGCCCUUGACUUUGGGAUAACUUCAGGAAACUGGGGCUAAUACCGGAUAGGAGCUCCUGCUGCAUGGUGGGGGUUGGAAAGUUUCGGCGGUUGGGGAUGGACUCGCGCCUUAUCAGCUUGUUGGUGGGGUAGUGGCUUACCAAGGCUUUGACGGGUAGCCGGCCUGAGAGGGUGACCGGCCACAUUGGGACUGAGAUACGGCCCAGACUCCUACGGGAGGCAGCAGUGGGGAAUAUUGCACAAUGGGCGGAAGCCUGAUGCAGCAACGCCGCGUGCGGGAUGACGGCCUUCGGGUUGUAAACCGCUUUCGCCUGUGACGAAGCGUGAGUGACGGUAAUGGGUAAAGAAGCACCGGCUAACUACGUG